UACGAAGGGUGCAAGCGUUAAUCGGAAUUACUGGGCGUAAAGCGCGCGUAGGUGGUUCGGUAAGUUGGAAGUGAAAGCCCUGGGCUCAACCUGGGAAUUGCUUUCAAAACUGCCGAGCUAGAGUAUGGCAGAGGGUGGUGGAAUUUCCUGUGUAGCGGUGAAAUGCGUAGAUAUAGGAAGGAACAUCAGUGGCGAAGGCGACCGCCUGGGCUAAUACUGACACUGAGGUGCGAAAGCGUGGGGAGCAAACAGG
rnacentral:rRNA from 1 species